rnacentral:rRNA from 1 species
UACCAGCACCCCGAGUGGUCGGGACGAUUAUUGGGCCUAAAGCAUCCGUAGCCGGUUCUGCAAGUCCUCCGUUAAAUCCAGCUGCUCAACAGAUGGGCCGCGGAGGAUACUACAGAGCUAGGAGGCAGGAGAGGCAAGCGGUACUCAGUGGGUAGGGGUAAAAUCCGUUGAUCCAUUGAAGACCACCAGUGGCGAAGGCGGCUUGCCAGAAUGCGCUCGACGGUGAGGGAUGAAAGCUGGGGAGCAAACCGG